rnacentral:rRNA from 1 species
UACGUAGGGUGCGAGCGUUAAUCGGAAUUACUGGGCGUAAAGCGUGCGCAGGCUGUUUUGUAAGUCAGAUGUGAAAUCCCUGGGCUCAACCUAGGAACUGCGUUUGAAACUACAAGGCUAGAGUGUAGCAGAGGGGGUAGAAUUCCACGUGUAGCAGUGAAAUGCGUAGAGAUGUGGAGGAAUACCAAUGGCGAAGGCAGCCCCCUGGGUUAACACUGACGCUCAUGCACGAAAGCGUGGGGAGCAAACAGG